rnacentral:rRNA from 1 species
GAUGAACGCUGGCGGCGUGCCUAAUACAUGCAAGUCGAGCGAACAGAUGAGGAGCUUGCUCCUCUGACGUUAGCGGCGGACGGGUGAGUAACACGUGGAUAACCUACCUAUAAGACUGGGAUAACUUCGGGAAGCCGGAGCUAAUACCGGAUCAUAUAUUGAACCGCAUGGUUCAAUAGUGAAAGACGGUUUUGCUGUCUCUUAUAGAUGGAUCCGCGCCGCAUUAGCUAGUUGGUAAGGUAACGGCUUACCAAGGCAACGAUGCGUAGCCGGCCUGAGAGGGUGAUCGGCCACACUGGAACUGAGACACGGUCCAGACUCCUACGGGAGGCAGCAGUAGGGAAUCUUGCGCAAUGGGCGAAAGCCUGACGGAGCAACGCCGCGUGAGUGAUGAAGGUCUUCGGAUCGUAAAACCCUGUUAUUAGGGAAGAACAAAUGUGUAAGUAACUAUGCACGUCUUGACGGUACCUAAUCAGAAAGCCACGGCUAACUACGUG